CUACCGUGCAGCCGAGCGGUAGAGUCUCUUCGUUGCACUUGAGAGCGGCACACGGGUGCGGAACACGUGUGCCAGCUGCCUUGAUCGGGGGGAUAGCCUUUCUAAAGGAAAAUUAAUACCCCAUAAUAUUUUGAAUGGCAUCAUUUUAAAUUGACCUUCCGGUGGAUGCCAAUGGGCACGCCCAAAAGUAGAUAGUUGGUGAGGGAACGGCUCGCCAACCCUGCGAUCUUUACGGGGCCUGACAGGGAGAUCCCCCACCCUGGCUCUGACACACACACCAGACUCAUACCGAAGGCAGGAGUGAGGAAUAUUGAACGAUGGGUGAGAGCCUGAUCCAUCCAUCCCUCGCGAAGGACGACGGACCGAUGUCUUGUAGACUUCUUUUGUCUAGGGAUAAACCUACUCUCGUGAUAGUAACUGAAGGUACUGUACUAAUACGCACCGGAUAACUCCGUGCCAUCCGCCGCGGUAAUACGGAGGAUGCAAGCGUUAUCCGGAUUUAUUGGAAUUACUGGGUCCGUAGGCUGAUGUGUAAGUCUGUGGUGAAAUCUCACAGCUCCCCUGUGAAACUGCCAUUGAUGCUGCAUGUCUUGAGUGUUGUUGACUUGCUGGAAUAAGUAGAAUUCCGGUGAAAUGCAUAAAUAUUACUUAGAACACCAAUUGCCAAGGCAGGUUACUAAGCCACAUGCUGCACACUGAUGACACUAAAGCGUGGAGAAGCGAACAGAGAUUACAUGCUCUGGAUACCCCGCGUCCGUCAACCGAUGCUACCAUCGUCUUAUUGUGGAUGG
rnacentral:rRNA from 1 species